GGGUUGUGAGGUUAAGCGACUAAGCGUACACGGUGGAUGCCUAGGCAGUCAGAGGCGAUGAAGGGCGUGCUAAUCUGCGAAAAGCGUCGGCAAGGUGAUAUGAACCGUUAUACCCGACGAUACCCGAAUGGGGAAACCCAGUGUGAUUCGUCACACUAUCAUUAACUGAAUCCAUAGGUUAAUGAGGCGAACCGGGGGAACUGAAACAUCUCAGUACCCCGAGGAAAAGAAAUCAACCGAGAUUCCCCCAGUAGCGGCGAGCGAACGGGGAGGAGCCCAGAACCUGAAUCGGCUUGUGUGUCAGUGGAAGCGUCUGGAAAGGCGCACGAUACAGGGUGACAGUCCCGUACACGAAGAUGCACAGGUCGUGAGUUCGAAGAGUAGGGCGGGACACGUGGUAUCCUGUCUGAACAUGGGGGGACCAUCCUCCAAGGCUAAAUACUCCUGACUGACCGAUAGUGAACCAGUACCGUGAGGGAAAGGCGAAAAGAACCCCGGCGAGGGGAGUGAAAUAGAACCUGAAACCGUGUACGUACAAGCAGUGGGAGCACCUUUAGGGUGUGACUGCGUACCUUUUGUAUAAUGGGUCAGCGACUUAUAUUCUGUAGCAAGGUUAACCGAAUAGGGGAGCCGCAGGGAAACCGAGUCUUAACUGGGCGUCUAGUUGCAGGGUAUAGACCCGAAACCCGGUGAUCUAGCCAUGGGCAGGUUGAAGGUUGGGUAACACUAACUGGAGGACCGAACCGACUAAUGUUGAAAAAUUAGCGGAUGACUUGUGGCUGGGGGUGAAAGGCCAAUCAAACCGGGAGAUAGCUGGUUCUCCCCGAAAGCUAUUUAGGUAGCGCCUCGUGAACUCAUCUUCGGGGGUAGAGCACUGUUUCGGCUAGGGGGCCAUCCCGGCUUACCAACCCGAUGCAAACUGCGAAUACCGAAGAAUGUUAUCACGGGAGACACACGGCGGGUGCUAACGUCCGUCGUGAAGAGGGAAACAACCCAGACCGCCAGCUAAGGUCCCAAAGUCAUGGUUAAGUGGGAAACGAUGUGGGAAGGCCCAGACAGCCAGGAUGUUGGCUUAGAAGCAGCCAUCAUUUAAAGAAAGCGUAAUAGCUCACUGGUCGAGUCGGCCUGCGCGGAAGAUGUAACGGGGCUAAAACCAUGCACCGAAGCUGCGGCAGCGACACUGUGUGUUGUUGGGUAGGGGAGCGUUCUGUAAGCCUGUGAAGGUGGCCUGUGAGGGCUGCUGGAGGUAUCAGAAGUGCGAAUGCUGACAUAAGUAACGAUAAUGCGGGUGAAAAACCCGCACGCCGGAAGACCAAGGGUUCCUGUCCAACGUUAAUCGGGGCAGGGUGAGUCGACCCCUAAGGCGAGGCUGAAAAGCGUAGUCGAUGGGAAACAGGUUAAUAUUCCUGUACUUGGUGUUACUGCGAAGGGGGGACGGAGAAGGCUAUGUCAUCCGGGCGACGGUUGUCCCGGUUUAAGCGUGCAGGUGGGUGGACCAGGUAAAUCCGGUCUGCUGUUAACACUGAGGCGUGAUGACGAGGCACUACGGUGCUGAAGUGACAGAUGCCCGGCUUCCAGGAAAAGCCUCUAAGCAUCAGGUAACAUUGAAUCGUACCCCAAACCGACACAGGUGGUCAGGUAGAGAAUACUCAGGCGCUUGAGAGAACUCGGGUGAAGGAACUAGGCAAAAUGGUGCCGUAACUUCGGGAGAAGGCACGCUCCUGUUGGUGAAGUCCCUUGCGGAUGGAGCUGAGGGGAGUCGCAGAUACCAGCUGGCUGCAACUGUUUAAUAAAAACACAGCACUGUGCAAACACGAAAGUGGACGUAUACGGUGUGACGCCUGCCCGGUGCCGGAAGGUUAAUUGAUGGGGUUAUCCGUAAGGAGAAGCUCUUGAUCGAAGCCCCGGUAAACGGCGGCCGUAACUAUAACGGUCCUAAGGUAGCGAAAUUCCUUGUCGGGUAAGUUCCGACCUGCACGAAUGGCGUAAUGAUGGCCAGGCUGUCUCCACCCGAGACUCAGUGAAAUUGAACUCGCUGUGAAGAUGCAGUGUACCCGCGGCAAGACGGAAAGACCCCGUGAACCUUUACUAUAGCUUGACACUGAACCUUGAGCCUUGAUGUGUAGGAUAGGUGGGAGGCUUUGAAGUGUGGACGCCAGUCUGCAUGGAGCCAACCUUGAAAUACCACCCUUUAAUGUUUGAUGUUCUAACCUGGGCCCGUAAUCCGGGCCGGGGACAGUGUCUGGUGGGUAGUUUGACUGGGGCGGUCUCCUCCCAAAGAGUAACGGAGGAGCACGAAGGUUAGCUAAUCCUGGUCGGACAUCAGGAGGUUAGUGCAAAGGCAUAAGCUAGCUUGACUGCGAGAGUGACGGCUCGAGCAGGUGCGAAAGCAGGUCUUAGUGAUCCGGUGGUUCUGAAUGGAAGGGCCAUCGCUCAACGGAUAAAAGGUACUCCGGGGAUAACAGGCUGAUACCGCCCAAGAGUUCAUAUCGACGGCGGUGUUUGGCACCUCGAUGUCGGCUCAUCACAUCCUGGGGCUGAAGUAGGUCCCAAGGGUAUGGCUGUUCGCCAUUUAAAGUGGUACGCGAGCUGGGUUUAGAACGUCGUGAGACAGUUCGGUCCCUAUCUGCCGUGGGCGUUGGAAGAUUGAGGGGGGUUGCUCCUAGUACGAGAGGACCGGAGUGAACGCACCGCUGGUGUUCGGGUUGUCAUGCCAAUGGCACUGCCCGGUAGCUACGUGCGGAAGAGAUAACCGCUGAAAGCAUCUAAGCGGGAAACUUGCCCCGAGAUGAGUCUUCCCUGGGAACUAGAUUCCCCUGAAGGGACGUUCGAGACGAGGACGUUGAUAGGCUGGGUGUGUAAGCGUAGCGAUACGUUGAGCUAACCAGUACUAAUGACCCGAGAGGCUUAACCUUACAACACCGAAGGUGUUU
rnacentral:rRNA from 1 species